AUGGCCGCGGUCUCCCACUCCCCUCCUCCGGCCGCGGAUCGCGCCUCCUUCCCUGACUGGGUCAUGCUGGACCGUUUCGUGGUAUGCAAGGACGAGGUCCUCACGGACGGCGGCGACUCGACCAUGGCCUCCGGCAGCAACUCGAGGGGCCACAAGUUCCACGUGGGCUUCCAGCUCCACGCGCCGCCGCAAGUGUCCCGCAUACUCCUGCGGGUCGAAGGCGGCGCGUCGGUCUUCGACGACUUCCACGUCGUCGCCGCUCACCGCGACGCCUUGCUCCUCCAGAUGUCUUACGUCAUCGAUCUGCCCCGUCCCGAGCACACCUUGAUCUACAAGUGCAGGAUGAUUGACUUCUUCCUCUACAGGGCCGGUGGGGGUGGCUCGUCCCCGCCGUCCCUCAGGCUUCUCCCCACCAUCGGUGGCACCGAGGAAGAGGUCCGAGCCCGGAUCAAGGCGGAGGGUUUCUUCAUGACCAACCAGUGCGUGCGGAGGGCCAAGUGCCUUGAUGUGGGCGUCCUGUGCCGCGGCGACGACGAGUUUGCUGUCGCGGAGCUCCAGAUCACCUGGUCCAAAAAACCACCGGAGCUCCACAUCUUUUGUCCAUCCAGGUCCAACCGGUGGGAGUUCAAGCAGCCGCCGGUCAUACUCAUUGAUUGUCAGGAUGAUAUUUCCUUGGAGGAUUUGCUGUUUCACUGGGAUGCGGACAUGGUCGUCCCCUUUGGGAGCUACCUAUGCUGGGUUGACUAUUGUCGUGGGAUCAUGUUCUGCAAUGUAUUUGACGACAGCCCUGAGAUCCUGUUCCUUAAAUUCCCUGCAAAAGUGCCCAAUCUUCGUGACAACUGCCACAGCACUGGAUGGGUAGAUGCAUGCCAAACAGUGGGCGUCACCAGCUGUGGCGCCAUGAAGUUCGUUACCGUUGUGCGUUCGGAUGGACAGAUUAUUGGAGAUUUCAAAGGAUCUUCUGACUUCACUGUCACGUCAUGGACUUUAAGGAUAACAGAAUUGAACAAGAUGACGUGGGAUAAGACUGAUGAGCUUACAUCCAAUGAGCUCUGGAGUCUUGAUGGUUUUGCCUCAACUCUCCCACGCACCCCGUUACAAUUUCCUGUCAUCAGCAUGAAUGAUCCAAAUGUUCUAUGCUUUGUGCUGGGCCAGAGGGUAGCAGAACACUGUUAUUACGAUCACUGGUCUGUUUCCGUUGACAUCAGCAGAAAGACAAUCAAGGGUUUCUUCCCAUAUGUCAAUCCUGAACUAGAAGAAACUGAUGUAUCUUGUGAGACCAAAUUCUCGAAAGCAAAGUACUGGUACUUCGAGUCGUUUCUUCCUGCUGAGUUCUCUAAGCACCUGAAUCUUCUUAGCGACAGCGCCAGGUUGUAUUCCGUGCUACGGCGUUGA
rnacentral:rRNA from 1 species